AGUGUGUGAGCCAGUGAGCGCUUUAAAUAGAAAUCGCGAAAUAGUCAACUCGAUGGAAGUCGCCGUCUAGAAAAAUAGCAAAACAGCCAAAAUAACCACUUGUGAGCCAAAGUGACACAAUGUAAAGAGCAAACGAAAAUAUAAAAAUAAAUUAACUAAUAAAUUCAAUUGGAUUAACUCAAACAUCGCAGGGGAUGGAGUAUCAAAGGCCCUGAUCCUAAAUAAAACGAAUUUAAAAACACCGUAGUAAUUUUUCAAGAGCAGUAAAAUUUGAAAACAAUGAAAUAUAUAAAGAAUUUAUGACUGACAACGGUCUUGAAUUAAAGUGGAAGUGAUAUUGGUGCACUAAAGCAGCACCCGGAAAACAUCAACGAGGCAACGUACAAAAUUAAAGUUUUAAAAAUUCGUAAAGGAAAAUUUGGCGGUAAAGUGACUCAACAUUUAACGAUAUGGGAAAUAUGGCGCUGAGACGAUCAGCACAGGGUGUUGCCAAGUCGAAUAGCAUCGCAGUGAGAAGUCCAAUAUCCCUAUCGCUGGUACUGCUGCUUUGCUUAGCGCUAGUCGAUAGCUCCAGUGCACAAGUUGAUACCACCAUUAGUCAGCAAGAAAGUCAAUCAGUUGUGCUACCGUGCCCCGUCGAUGCAGAAAAGUGCGGAAAACUCCACUCACUAAAUUGGUUUAAGGGCGAUGAUCGCAUUGCUGCAAUGCUUCUUGGCGAUAGUAAUGUCACGAGUGUUAAUAAAGAGUUCGACGAAAGGGUUACUGUGGAGCAAAACCCAUACAGACUAGUAAUUAAGGACUUAAAAAUAGCUGAUGAAGAUAUUUAUCUAUGUGAUACUACAUUUUUUAUACCAGAAGAAACUUGUGAUAACUUUAAUGGAUAUCGAAUAGAAUUGAGAGUCUUAGUGCCACCCACUGAGGUAGUUAUCUUGGAUGCAAAAGGAGAUCGAAUCGAGAACGGCAGUGUAGUGGGCCCCAUGCAGGAACGCCAGUCCCUCAAAGCUACGUGCACUGUAAGGAACACCCGGCCUCAACCUGAAGUGAGCUGGUUUCGUGGAACAAAGCGUCUAACAACUUACUCCCCCACGCAUGACCUAGUCGAUGGUCUUUAUACGUCAACACUCGAGUUGGAUUGGACAUUGUCUCGCGAAGAUCUUGCUCAGGAUAUUGAAUGUCGCGUGAAAUCUGCCGCAAUACCAAAUGUUACUGUAACUAAGUUUAGCGUGGAUCUACAAGUUCGGCCAACUAGCAUUGACAUUAAUGGGGUAAAACAUCACACAGUGCAAGGCAGCAAAGUGGUUUUAACAUGUGACAUUCACGGAGCUCGACCGGCAGUAAAUCUUACUUGGUAUAAUACAACCACCGUAAUAAGUUCUGGCGAAAAUGAAAUAACUGAAGUUCGGACUAAAUCGCUCGAGAAAAGCGAUGGCACCUUUCACACUCAAUCCGAACUAAUUUUUAAUGCCACUCGCUUUGAAAAUGAUCGCGUUUUUCGCUGCGAAGCGGAAAAUAUUGUUUUGCAAAUUAAUCGCGAAAAACCAAUUUCAUCUGCCCUCACGUUGGAAGUCUUAUAUCCCCCCGUAGUCAAAGUCAGUCCAUCUGCUAUAACUGCCAAUACAAGUGAAAUAGUUCUUCUUAAUUGUGAAUACUUUGCAAACCCAGCUUCUCUGACUCAAGUUGAAUGGUAUCGGAAUGAUAUUUUAGUGAAUGUCAAUGACACGACUCAUUAUAAAGGUGGUAAUUCGGAGAAUGUGGCUCUUGUUAUAAAAUCUACUGAAAAAGAGGACAUUGGAAAUUAUUCAUGCCAAUUGUCAAAUAAUAUUGGCACAGGAACUUCUGAUCACAAAAUAAAUCUUGACGUGCAGUAUGCCCCAAGUGUUGAAAUUCUAAUGAUACCGGAAGGACCGGUGAAGGAAAGCGAUGAAUCAAAUGUGACCCUAUUUUGCAACGUCUUGGAUGCAAAUCCGUCUGUUCUUACCAAAGUGAGGUGGUACGCCAACUCUACGCUCCUUAAGGAACUUCCAGACUGCGAAGAAACAAGAGAGGACCUGUGUCACAUAGACCCCAGCAAACUUUUGUUGGAGAGCAUUGGUCGUGGCUUCUUCUACAAUUAUUCCUGUGAGGGAUUCAAUGCUGCAGGCUGGGGUCCACGAAGCGAAGAUAAAGAGCUGUUGGUACAUUACGAGCCAGGUCCUGCGGCGUUAUCUCAUUUCCCGUUAGUCGCCGUUAAGAAAAAGAGUGUGACAUUCUCCUGUUCCGUAGAUGAUCCCGGAUUUCCAGAAUCAAAUAGGUUUGUAGCGCAAAAGGCCAACCAGAAUCACAAAACGAAAAGUCCCCAACACGCUCCGCUCAUGGAUUUUCAUACCGUCCAAGCAAUGCAACCGCAGGAAGCCGACAUUGCUUUUGAAGCAAUGCUGCUGCAUAAACACCAAAAUCCUCUACCGUUCAAUGAUUCGACUCAAACAUCAAUGAGAACACCACAAGAAAGCGCAUCUCAUCCAGCACAUCAAAUCAAAGAGACUCAUGCUUUAAUUGACUUACAUUUAAACCAUUCCCUCUGUACAUUGAUCACGCUCACCACAUACACGCCACAAUCGCAAAUAUUAACUCUUUACACGGGGGUUCAACAAAAAAAAGACGCCUCCGCCACAUCCUACGCCCUUUAUCGAAAAAUGGGCAAAUUUUCGUUUGUUGCUCAAAUUGUUUCGAAACCCAACAGAUUUCGUUGGCUACGCGGCGGUCGGGGUCCUCUGCAGGACAUUGUGACGAAGGACUGGACGGUGGAGCCAGUGGGUCUGGAUAGUCGGACAAACUAUUCUUGCUACGCAUACAAUGAGGGAGGCAAAGGUGUGAUGGCCACGGUAAACUUAGAGGUACACGCACCCCCGUUUUUCAUCAAGAACUUGCCUCCGUACACGGGAAUUUUGCAUUCUUCACCAAAUGCAACUUUGACUUGUCGCAUCGAAUGCGUCCCGCGAUGCGACAUAUCUUGGCAAAAGGACGGUGUGCCAAUAGAAAGGAACGAUACCCGAUAUUUUAUUAAAGAAAAAUACAUGGAUGCCUCCCCCGCAACGGGAGAUUUUGAAAGCAUGCUAUCAGUCUUGCACUUCAAUAUGCCCAAUUGGCCCGAUUCGAAAUUCAACAUCGAGGCUGAUAAUGCAAACUACUCAUGUGUAUCAACGGGAAAUAUCGUCGGCGGAAGCAUAAGGAGUCGCACCUAUUUUGGCAUUGAGUAUGCACCCGAAAAUACGACGGUUUCGGAGAACAUUGUUUAUGUGCAGGAAGGCACAAUACCAGGACGAGUUAUUUGCAAGUCUCGAGCUAACCCAGAGCCUUCUUACAAGUGGAUUUUCAAAAACGAAACUAUAGCCAAUGGCAAUGCGUUAAUUAUUAAUACUGCUAUGAACCGAAACGAUGAUGGAACAUAUACGUGUUUUGCGUAUAACAAGCACGGCAGCAGCAUUGCGAAAACCGUAAUUAAAGUACAAUUUAAGCCACGUUGCGAAAUCGAGAGACAGGAAAUCGAUGACCAGGACACGCUCAUUUGUACUGCGUACGGAAAUCCUAUAGAGGCAGAUUUCUCUUGGUCAAUUAAAACUGAAAAUGAAACAGACGAAAACUUGGGCAGCGGAAAAAAAGAAAAUUCGGUGGAAAGGAGUUUUUACAUAUUGGAGACGGACUAUGCAAUAUCCAGGACUUACAGAUGUGUUGCGAAUAAUACAGUUGGUUACGGCCCGUUUUGUGAAAUUGAAGUAGCUGCUGCUUCAUCACUUUUAGUUUGGUGGCAAGAACAACUGGCAUGGUGGCAACUCUGGGAAAAGAACACACUCAUCAUACUAGUUGCUGCUAUCUUGGGAUUACUGCUGACCGUAAUUGUAAUAUGUUGCAUAAUUAUAUGUAUAUGCCGUCGCCGUCGACGUCAGGAUAAAUUACACGACAAGUCGUCUUCACUGGGGGAACCGUUGACGGAACCUGGCGAGUAUGAGAAUCUACCAUUUCAUGGUCUGCAAACGGCACCUAACAAGCAUCUUUCCGACUUUGAGGAUCCUUACAAAAGCAGCAAUACAUAUAUAUUCUAAGUUUUAAUUUGAAUACAUUUCCAUAACAAAGAGAUAAUGUUCAUUGUCCGAGUAGAAAGAAGCCAAUAAAUGCCCAAAUUUUUGAUGAUGAAUUCAUUUAUGCUGAUCUCGAGAGUCAACAUUACGGACCUAUCAAUUACAAGGCGGCUU
rnacentral:tRNA from 13 species